rnacentral:lncRNA from 1 species
GGGCGUGAGAACUACUGUAAAAACAAGUAGUCCUCAGUGGGUGCCGCCCAAACAACAUCGGUCCACCCACUAAGUCUACAGAGGGGAGCCAGGAUAGUAGGAAAAUGCAGGAAAUAAACUCAACCGCUACAAAUCGCUACACUAUCAUGCUCUACACUAACCAACUGUAGGAAAUGUUAAAUGUGACCCAAUCCAAUCGGGACUGUAAACAUACCCGUCCCUGGGACUGUGAAUACACCCAUCCCUGCCCAAUUGCGACUAUCCAGCUACCUCCACACUAACUGGUCCGUGGAUAGCAAGUCCAACCGGCAUGAGCGACACCAACGCGAAAGCACAAAGCCCGUCUCCGGAGUGGCACUCGUGGGCGCUACCCAACCGAGUAUGCAGCGUAUCUCUGUCGAGCUCAAUCAGGCUCUGUCAAGCCAAAGUCUAAGUAACCGACUCGAACUGGUCUAACAACCAACAAGUAACGUGCCCUCGGCACAAUCUGACGCCAAAACGGCGAACCGAGCCCACCGUCAACCCCAACGGCGCCCAAAAGUCCGAAACAGCCCAAACGACCCUGUAAAAAUCCACUCGGCGUACCAGCACGAGCGUAAAUGUAUUCUAAACUACCUGGAGUACUCGUCUCGAGGAUGCUGCGACAGUACAAUUUUAUAACGGCUCCUAGAGCUAAAUCAGGCAGUUUAAAAAAAGUGACAGGUCCAAAUCGCAGGUUUUCUCCUAAUUCAAAUUCCAAGUCCAAUAGGUAUAACCUACUCAAUUUAUUACCACAUGCUCCAAAUUCAGAUUUGCAGUCUACAAUAUAAUCUAUGAAUUCGAGCUAGAAUAGACUAUACCAAAAUCGAAAUUAUACAUGUCGACGAUUAGAACUUAGGAGUCAAAACCGAUGUAACCCACCUCAAGAAGCUAGCUUCUGGCAGCGAACGAAGCCUCGAACCAGAGUGAUCCCUGCUGGAUCAACUGGAACCCUCCAAGUCUAGCACUCGAGCUAACUCCAAGCUCUACGAUCAAAAUCCACCAAUUCAGUCAGAAUUUCGCAGCAACAGAGUAGAAAAGGGAUUCAACCAAGCUAACCUUCACCAAAUCUGGCAAGUAAGGGCUUCGUGGAUUCCUCUCGAAGUCUCGAAUCCAACGAACCAAGUCUCGUCGCAAUCCGAUGCUCCUACGUCGAGUACAAGCUGAAAUACUAACAGUCGAUGAUGAAUUUCAGCAAACAACAUCACUUCGAGUUGAAGUAGUAAGAACUUGCCCAAAACCAUGGAAAUGCUGAAUUACCCACCUCUACAACGCCAAGCACCGGUGCGACUGAAAAAACGGCGAAAACCUACGCUCGCCCGGCCUCCUCGCGCUACCCCGGCGUCAAACACGUGCUCAAACGGCUCCGCGGCGCAACGUCGGCGACGAAUUCUCCAACCGAGCUCACUUGCCUUCAAUCGAGACUAGAGAGAGAGAGGAGAAGAGAGAGCAACAAGAACUCUCUCUCUCUCAGCUCAGCACAAGCCUAUAUAGAGAGGGAGAGAGGUGGUGAUACAAACGAGGGAGGGAAUUACCAAAACAGCUCUCUACCUACCCCCUUGUACCGGUACAUGGGCUCCUGUACCGGUACAAGAGCCAACCCGAGAGCAGCUAAACCAGUGCGCGCUGGUUGUACCGGUACAGCGUGCUUGUUGUACUGGUACAGCAAGCAGAGAAAUCUGCUGUUUUGCCGAUUUCUUCGCUAUAAGUUGUCCUCGCGUUGUACGGAGUCUGUUUUGUGUCUAUUUGACGCUAACGCGACUCGGAGUUGUCCCGACACUCUCCAGAGCUGCCGACAAGCCUCCACAACAGAACACCAGGGAUCUCACAUCCUCCCCCUCUACAAAAAUUCGUCCGCGAAACUGAAACGUACCUCUGCUCAGGCAUCAAACAAAUAGGGAUAGGCCUCCCUCAUCAUCGUCUCAGGCUCCCAAGUCGCCUCCCGCUCCUCAUGAUUACUCCACUGCACUUUCACAUACGGGAUGACCCGAUUGCGCAAUUCUUUCGUCUCUCGAGCAAAAAUCCGCAACGGUCGCUCCUCGUAUCUCAGAUCCUCACUAAUCUCCAGUGGAGUGAAGUCGAUCACGUGAGUGGGAUUGAAAACGUAUCUCCUCAAUGCUGAGACGUGGAAAACAUCGUGGAUGCCAGCAAGUCGCGGGGGUAGAGCUAUCCUGUAUGCAAUCGGUCCGAUAUGCUCCAAACUGGCGUAUCCCUCUGGACGACGAGACUUUGAGGAAAACAUGAUCUCCAACCUGAAACUCCAAGUCUCGUCUCCUGGUAUCGGCGUAGCUACUCUGUCGGCUCUGUGCUGUCAAAAGGUGUCGUCGAACGAUUCUCACCUUUUCCUCAGCCUCAAGUAGAAUCUCCAGUCCAAGUGUCCUCCGCUCACCCACAUCGCUCCAAAACAGGGGGGAUCGACAUCUGCGUCCAUACAACGCCUCAAACGGAGCCAUCUGAAUGCUCGUUUGAUAGCUGUUGUUGUACGCAAACUCAACCAGUCUCACAUGUCGAUACCACCCUCCUCCAAAAUCCAGGACGUAUGCCCUUAGCAUGUCCUCUAGAGUCUGUAUGGUCCACUCUGACUGACCAUUUGUCUGUGGGUGGAACGCUGUGCUAAAUUGCAGCUGAGUGCCCAAGGCGGUCUGAAGGCUCCUCCAAAACUGGGAUACAAACCUCGGGUCUCUGUCUGACACAAUCGACACUGGCACGCCGUGUAGCCUAACGAUCUCAUGCAAGUAUAGCUGCACGAGUCUCUUUUUGGGCCAAGUAGUCUGAACCGGUAGGAAGUGAGCAGACUUGGUCAGUCUGUCCACUAUCACCCAAAUCGCGUCGUAGCCAUCCUGUGCUCUCGGCAAUCCAACGACAAAAGUCCAUAGUGAUGUACUCCCACUUCCACUCUGGCACUGGCAGACUCUGAAGCUUGCCAGCAGGCACCUGAUGCUCGGCCUUCACCUGUUGGCAAGUCAAACACUGAGCCACAAAUCUGCCAAUGUCCUUCUUCAUUCCAGGCCACCAGAACCGUGCCUUUAGAUCAUUAUACAUCUUGGUUCCCCCAGGGUGAACCGUAUAAGGAGAACAAUGAGCCUUUCUCAGAAUGUCUGCUCGGAUCUCCGAAUCCACAGGCACACACAGUCGGUCACUGUACCGUAGUACUCCCGAACUGUCGAAAGCAAAACCCUCAGCCUGCCCCCUGUCUAGCUGCUCUCUAAUCCUCAACAAGUACGGAUCUCCACUCUGUUUCUCUCGGAUCCUAUCCAACAGAGUGGGCUGUAAAACUAGAGACGUCAGCCUCGCCGUAGACCCAGGGGGUACUAUCUCGAGUCCCAGCCGCUGUAGCUCCUCGAGUAGGGGUCUCUGCUCAGUAAUCCUCAAACUCAGGCUCUGCACUGACUUCCUGCUCAACGCAUCUGCCACCACAUUCGCCCUGCCGGGAUGAUACUGAAUACUAAUGUCAUAGUCCUUCAGUAACUCCAACCACCGGCGCUGCCUCAGGUUCAGCUCCCUCUGUGUGAACAGAUACUUGAGACUUUUAUGAUCGGUGAAGACCUCGCAGUGCUCGCCGUACAAGUAAUGCCGCCAGAGCUUCAAAGCAAAAACCACCGCGGCAAGCUCCAAGUCAUGCGUAGGGUAAUUCUUCUCAUAAUCCUUUAACUGCCGUGAAGCAUAAGCAAUCACCCUACCAUGCUGCAUCAGCACGCAACCAAGUCCACUGUGCGAUGCAUCACUGUAGAUCACGAAUCCAUCCCCCAUCACCGGAAGGGCAAGGAUAGGAGCCGACGUCAACCUCAGUCUCAACUCGUCAAAGCUCCUCUGACAGUCGUCGCUCCAGACAAAACGAAUCCCCUUCCGCGUCAAGCGUGUGAGGGGUGUGGAAAGCUUCGCAAAGCCUUCCACAAACCGACGGUAAUAUCCUGCCAGUCCCAGGAAGCUCCGUACCUCAGUCACCGUCGUCGGUCUAGGCCAAUCUCGAAUCGCCUCAAUCUUCUUCGGGUCCACUGCUACGCCCUCAGCUGAAAUCACGUGGCCCAAGAAAGCAACCUCCCGUAGCCAGAACUCGCACUUCUUUAACUUGGCAUACAACUUCUUCUCGCGCAGAAGCUGUAGCACAAUCCUCAAGUGCUCCUCAUGCUCAGCAUCACUCCGGGAGUAAAUCAGGAUAUCGUCGAUGAAGACUACCACAAACCUAUCCAAGAACGGCUUGAACACUCUGUUCAUCAAAUCCAUGAAUGCGGCAGGGGCAUUCGUCAAUCCAAAAGGCAUCACCGUGAACUAAUAAUGCCCGUACCGAGUCCGAAAAGCCGUUUUGGGAACAUCCUCGGCCCUCACCCUCAACUGGUGGUAACCUGACUGGAGAUCUAUCUUCGAGAAGACAUAAGAUCCCUGCAGCUGAUCAAACAAAUCAUCAAUGCGCGGCAAAGGAUACUUAUUCUUGAUGGUCACUUUAUUCAGCUUCCGGUAACCCACGCACAGCCUAAGUGAACCAUCCUUCUUCUUCACAAAGAACACCGGCGCUCCCCAAGGCGACACACUGGGCCUCACAAACCCUCUAUCCAUCAAAUCCUGCAGCUGCACCUUUAGCUCCCUCAGCUCUGCCGGCGCAAUCCGAUAAGGUACCUUCGAGAUUGGUGCAGUUCCAGGAACUACAUCAAUCACAAACUCAAUCUCCCUCUCCGGCGGCAACGAUGUCAACUCAGGAGGAAAAACAUCCGGAAACUCACGGACUACAGGGAUAUCCUCGAGUUCCGGCGCCGCCGUAGGUACCUCCACAACUGUCGCUAAGAAAGCGAUACACCCACUGCUCAGCAUCUGUCGAGCCCUCGCCGAAGAUAUCCAGGUGGCAAACAACGUACUCCUGCAGCCUCUGAAAGUGAACUCCUCCUGGCCUGGCUCGCGGAACGUCACCGUCCUCGCUCCACAGUCGAUCGUAGCAUAGUACCGCGCCAGCCAAUCCAUACCGAGCACGACGUCGAAGUCCUGCAGCUGCCCUAACACCAAUAGGUCUGCGGGCAUAAUCCACGAGUCUAGCUGCAUCGGACAUGACCAACAACACUCCACAUCCUGCAAAACAUGGUCUGGGAUCUGCACCUCUCGUGCCUGAGACAACGCUCCUAACUCUAGACCAUGUAACUGUGCAAAUACUCGGCUAACAAAGGAAUGCGAUGCACCGGUAUCAAAAAGAGUGCGAACUCUAAUGCCAGAAAUCAAAGUGAUACCUGCCACCACUCGGUCGGCUGCUGUAGAGUCCUCCACCUCAGCUGCGUAGACCCUGCCACUCGGAGCCUGUUGUCGCCGCUCACUCGACCGCGACACAGACGAUCUGUCUUCCUGGCGGUAACUCGGUGCUGCUCCGUAAGACUGCUGUGGUGCUGGUGGUGCUGAAGCUGAUAAUGGUGCUGAAGAUGCUGCUCGGGGACAAGCUGCCCUCAUGUGUCCCGGCUGACCACACCCGUAACACCUGCCCUCUGUCUGCUCACACUGCCGGGGCCAGUGUGGUCCCCCGCAGAUCACACACUGUGGCGUCCUCUGAGUCUGCCCCUGCUGACGGGAUCCCCUAGAACGCUGACGCCCCGAAGACCCGCGACCCUAAGAACGUGCUCGUGAAGGUUUCGGUGGACGUCUGCUGCUCCACUGGCCUUCGUCAUCUGCAAAGGUGCGCUUCCUAUCCUGACCCUGUGUGACGAACUGGACCUUUGCAAAUUGCAAGGUUCGAGUGUUUGGAUGUAUUUCGAGCUUUUCCACACUUGGUGGAGGGUUGUAGAGUGUUUUCCGACCUAAAAAGUUCGAAAACCUUAGUUCGGGAUGAGUCCUGAGAGUUUUUACUCUCGGGGACCGGUCCCUGAUAUGAGAGACCGGUCCCCCCAGUGAACAGUGUGCGCAGCCGGCAAGGCAACCGGUCUCGCGCAGGGAGAGACCGGUUCCCGAACGUUGGUUUUUCAGGUUCGCAGCGAGAGACCGGUCCCUGCUGGGGAGAGACCGGUCCCUCUAGGCGAAAACUGCCCAGACCGGGCUGAUGUAAUCCUGUUUUUUUGAGGGGCCUCUUGGGAUUUUGUUACAUUAGAGGGUCUAUAUGACCCAUCCACUCUCUCCUCUCCCCAUUUCUCUUCUCUCAACCCUCUCUACACCCUUGAUAGAGAAGAAGAAGAAGGAGUAAAGAGGAAGGAGGAGAAGAAGAGGAAGAUCUAGCUUUGGGCUUGGCAGCAUUUUUGCCUUCUUCCUCUUCCACCUUGUUGUGCUUAAAGGCUUGGACUUGGAGCUUGCAAAGGAGAAGAUCUUCACACCUUUGAGCUUGAUUGGACUUCUAAGGAGGUUUGUGGCUCCUUUCCCUCCUCUUAGAUCUUGUUUUGAUAGUUUUUGUAGAUGAAACCCUAGAAAUGAGAUUUAGGUUGAUUUUGGGGCUUUUUGAUCUAGGGCUUUUGAGGCUAGAUUAAUUGGUUUAGAACCUUCCUUGGGGCUUGGAUUGGAAGGUUUCUAGCUCUCUUGGAGCUUUUGGAAGAGAUUUCUUCUCUUGAGGUGAGUUUUUGGCCCUUUUUGCUUCUAGGUUAAUGUUUGAAUCUAUGGUUGGUCGUGAUGCCCUCCGUAUCUCUUCGCUGAUCACUUUUAGGGUCUUUGAGACUGCGUGGACAUCGUUCGGCGAAUCGAAGGAGCACGCGAACGGUUCGGUGGGUUUGACCUAGCCACACAAUGAGAAAUUCUCAAUUGUGAUGAAUUAAGUAUCGUCAAUUGAAAAAGCAUGCAUAAUCAUGUUAGAAUAUAUUUAUUGUGAUUUUGGGAUGCUUAAUAUGCCUAUGGUUAUGUGUAAUGAAAGUUCGGACCUCACUAUAGUAGAGAACUAGCAUGUGGUACUCGCAUUAUGUUUGGCAUCCUAUUGAGACUUGGAAUCAUAAAUCCUAUUGUGAAAAUGAGCAUCUUUUUGCAUGCAUUUAAAGUUAUUACCUAUAAAUGAGCUUAAAGGUUCUUGGUAAGCCAUAAAGAGGCAUCGGGACUUGUGCUAUUGUGAAAUAAUUGGGCUAAAUGUAUGAAGGGGCAUCGAGCUCGGGUCAUGUGAACCUAGGGGAUAGUGCCCAUUGAGAGAGUUAUAUACUUGUCAUUAAAUGUCUAAGUGUCAUAAAGGGCACAAGACUUAGUAGUAUUGGAACUUCAUGUUGUGAUUUAACUAAGAUCUUCGGGAUGCCUAGUGACUAUACCAUUUAGAGACAUGAGGACUGGACACUUGAGACUUGGACUAUGCUUGCUUGCCAUUUGUGCUCAUAUUCGCACAUGCUUGUGAGGGUCGCUCUCUACAAGCCGCACUCCGGAGUUAGCCUACGCACUUCGUUCGCGCGUGCGGUAUGAGAAGCCUACGGGUCCGAGUGGGAUCAGACACAUUGCCAAGAGUAAGGAAUGUCGGCAUACCACAGGCACUUAGGCGGCCGAAGCUGUGACUACCUUUGGUAGGUCCUUAAUUGGAAAUGAAUCUGAUCAGCCGGUGUGAGUUUAUUAUGAUCACUACUAGACACGAGAGUAAUAGUAGGAUUAUGUGGGAUUACUUCUAGUAUAGUUGUGGACAUUUUGGGUAAUCAUACAUAACAUGUAGUAUGCUAGAGAGUUGUUAUAUUGCAUCCUUAUAUGCACUAGUAGUCAUGACAAAGUAGUCACUUUCAUAUCUGUAUAAAUUGAAUCAUAAUAUACUUUGAACUGUAGAUAAUAUAUUAUCCAUGAACGAAGAUAAGUCGCAAAUUUGAAUCCAUGUUAUUGGCAAUCGAGCUUAGCAUCUUAAUUAAUGUCUUUCUUUAUAUGUCAAUUUAUUCGUUCUGAGAUUCGUAGACUCACCCUUCUUCUUUGGCCUAAGUGUGUGCAAUGAGCGAGGUCAUAAUUGCCCACUUGGGAACUAUAAAAUUAUAGUUCUCACGCCUCUUUCUCGAUGCUUUUCAAAGCUUCACGAGGGAGAGGCCAGGGAUACGUGAAAAGAGGUUCAGCCUCGGUAGCGUUUACCUGAGGGAUCGUUCGAUAUAGGUGGUCUACCUCCCGUUGUUUUCUUUUUGUGAGAGUGUGAGAUUGUACCCGUAUAUGUAUAGAGACACAUUUUGUACUAGAAGACAGUUGUGUAACUACUUUAUUGAUUUCUUUUAUUGUCCUAGCUUUAUUACUUAUACUUUGGUGUAGAUGUUGACUUUACGUCGCUCUGAUAUCAAUUAGUUUGCUAGUUUUAUUUCACCUUCUCUAUGUAUUCUUUUACUUGUUUACUUCCGCUUUUAUUGUAGACGCCUUAUAUGUGUAGACAUAUGACGGGUCUGGGCACGCUACCGGGAGGGCCUUCGCCGGUCCCGGGGCGUGACAGAUUAAUUUGGUAUCAGAGCCUAGGGUUGAGUCUUAGUGGACCUAGCGAACCUUAGGCCGGUUGGACUAUAGGAAUUAGGCUCGUGAGAGACGAGGUCUAAUUGACUUGUGAGCGAAAGUAUUAUGAUUGAGUUUAUGACAACUCUAAAAAGUUAGGGUUUGAUCGGAGUGUAUGGCUUCUAACUUCGCGGAGGGUUACGUUGGCGGCCGACAACGUAACAUCGGGAGUUAGUAGUGAAGGACACUUCCUUACUUUCGCAUGAUUUGGGGUUUUAUCUUUUUGAGCGGGGAUGCGACAGCGUGGGUUACUAACUUGCGCUUUUAUGCUUUGUAGUGACGAUGCCGAUUACACGCUCCCAGUCUGCCGGGGCGGAUGAUGCGGCACAUCCCGAGGGGGUCGAGACCUCCGCUACUUCCGGAUCUAGUAAGGUCCGUGACCUGAGGGCCCAGCUUGCGGUUCUCACUGAUUUGUUGGCGCAGCAGACGGCGGCGGCGCAGCAGACGGCGGCGGCGCAGCGAUAGGCUGAGGUGGCUCAGCGGCAGGAGGCGCGGAUGAAGCAUCUUGAAGACCUCCUACUUCAGCAGGCGGCAGCUUCUAGGGAGACCUAGGGUCCCACGCCGCCAGCACCCGUGGUGGACGUCGCACCGAGGGCGCAGUCCCCCGCGCCCAGUUCCUCACGUGCGGCACCGGCGACCGCACCUCGGGAGGAGGUGGCUGCGGCACUACCAGUUCAGAGACCAGCGACGGGGGCGGCAUUCCCCAUGAUGGCUGAGGGAGCCGAGCGGGAUCGGCUCAUGGAUCGCCUCAGCGAGUUUAGGAGGUGCAGCCUGAGGACGUUUGAUGGCGAGAACGUCGACCACUGGAUUGUUGAGAAGUGGUUGCUGCACAUGGAGAAGCUGUUUCGAGAUACCUUCGUGGAGGAGAGGGACAGAGUUUGGCUCGCCACUCACUUUCUGGACGGCGAGGCCUAUCGUUGGUGGUUGGAUAUCCAGGACAACCCCAACACCGAUUUGGCGGCAAUUACUUGGACACGAUUCAAGGAGCUUCUACUCACGCACCACUUUCCUACCAGCGUCAAGAAGAAGAUGGAGCAGGAUUUGCACAGCUUGCGCCAGGAUGAGCGGUCAGUGGCUGAGUACGAGAGGGAGUUCUCCCGGAUACUACACUGUGUACCGUUUGUUGUGAGGGACGACGAGGACAAGGCCCGCAUCUUUGAGCGCGGUUUGCGGCCUUCUAUCUUCCGGUUGGUACAGUCUUCCAACCUCCAGACCUACCGGGAGGUUGUGGAUCGAGCUUUGAUAGUGGAGGUAGGAGCGGCGGAUCUGCAGGAGCGUCGCGAGAGCUUGGAGAAAGGGAAGGGCAAGAGGCCCGCGGCUGAGGGUGCGAGUCAGACGCACUCACGGAGGCCGCCGAGGCAUCCCAGGAGUAAAAGCCAGUGGCGAGGACGCGGCCCGUCUACCCAGCGAGGAGGACCCGAUCGUCGCCAGGCCCCCCGCUACGUGAUCUAUGGCGGUCCUCAUUACCCGCGGCAGUGUUCACGCGGCCGGGGCAGGUGCUUCUUGUGUCGCCAGGAGUGCCACUUCCAGUCGGACUGCCCGAGGAGUCCAUUGUCAGCGCCAUCUGCGGCAUCUGCGCCAGCAUCGCCAGGUCCCAGCCAGAGGACAUCUUCUGCGCAUCACCAGGCAGGACCGCCGCCAUUUCUGCGACAGGCGGAGGGGUCACGACAGGCCCCGAGCGGGCGCAUGUACGCGGCCCAGACUGAGGAGGCAGCGGCAGCCGAGAAUGUGGUCGCAGGUAUCAUUUUACUUUAUGGUAUUCGAGCUAGAGCUUUGUUUGAUACCGGUGCAUCGCAUUCAUUCAUUGACCGGCUGUUUGCCGAGUUGCAUGGCAUCCUACUUGCAUCCUUGUUGCAUCCAGGACGAGUUACUGUACCCGAUCACUCUUUGGAUAUUCGAGAGUUUUGCCCCAGUUGCCCUAUUCGGGUUGGAGAUUGGAUCAUGCCCGUGGACUUGUUAGGCGAACCGAGCCCACCGCGACUCCCAACGCGGCCAAUAAGUCCGAAACAGCACAAACGACCCUGUAAAAAUAACACUCGGCGUAACCAGCACGAGCGUAAAUGUAUUAAUACGCUGGAGUACUCGUCUCGAGGAUGCUGCGACAGUACAAAUUUUAUAACCUCCUAGAGCUAAGAUUAGGCAGUGUUAAAAAAACAGUGACAGGUCCAAAUCGCAGGUUUUCUCCUAAUCAAAUCGAAGUCCAAUAGGUAUAACUACUCAAUUUAUUACAACAUGCUGCCCAAAUUCAGAUUGCAGUCUACACUAAAAUGCUAUGAAUUCGAGCUAGAAUAGACCUAUACCAAAAUCGAAAUUAUAUCAUGUGAUCUGAUUAAAUUUAGGAGUGCCAAAAACGACUGUAACUCACCUCAAGAGCUAGCUUUCUGGCAGCGAAACGACCAUCGAACCAAGUGAUCCCUGCUGGGAUCAACUGGAACGCUGCCAAGUCUAGCACUUCGCACUAAAUCACAAGCGCUCUACGAUCAAAUCCACCAAUUCAAGUCAAAUUUCGGCAGCAACAGAGUAGAAAACGGGAUUCACCAAGCUAACUUCACGCCAAUCUGGCAAGUAAGGGCUUCGUGGAUUCCUUCUCCAAGUCUUCGAAUCAAACGAACGCAAGUUCGUCGGCAAUCCCCGAUGCUUACCUACGUCGGUACUAAGCGUGAAAUACUAACAGUCGAUGGAUUGAUUUCACAACAACAUCACUUUAGAGUUUGAAGUAGUAAGAUACUGCCCAAAACAUGGAAAAUGCUGGAAUUACCCACCUCUACAAACGCCAAGCACGGUGCGACUGAAAAAACGGCGAAAACCCUACGGCUCGCUAGAGCCGGCCUCCUCGCGCUAGCCCCGGCGUAAACCACGUGCCUCAAGCUACGGCUCCCGCGCAAUCUGUCGGCGAUGAAUUCUUCCAAACCGAGCUCACUUGCUUAAUCGAGACUAGAGAGAGAGAGGAGAAGAGAGAGACAACAAGAACUCUCUCUCUCAUCAGCUCAGCACAAGCCUAUAUAGAGAGGGAGAGAAGGUGUGAUACAACGAGGGAGGGAAUUACACAAAACAGGUCUCUAACCUACGCCCUUGCCGGUACAUGGCUCCUGUAGCCGGUACAAGACCAACUUCGAAGAGCGGCCUAAACCAGUGCGCGCCGGUUGUACCGUAACGCGUGCUUGUUUUGUACUGGUACGCAAGCAAGAGAAAUGCUGCUGUUUUGCCGAUUUCUUGCUAUAAUGUUGUCCUCGCGUUGUACGGAGUUGUUUGGUCUAUGUGACGCUAACACAUGUUCGCGAACUCGAGGUUGUCCCGACACUGCUCUCAGACUGCCGACAAGCCACCACAACAGAACACCAGGGAUGCUACAUCCUCCCCUCUACAAAAAAUUUCGUUCCGCGAAACUGAACGUACCUCUGCUCAAGCAUCAAACAUAAUGGGAUAGGCUCCCGUCAUCAUUCGCUCAGGCUCCCAGAAGUCUGCCUGCCGCUCCUGCAUAGAUUACUCCAGUUUUUUCUGCAACUUUCAAAAUACGGGAUGACGCGAUGCGCAAUUCUUUCGUCUCUCGAGCAAAAAUCCGCAACGGUCGCUCCUCUAUCUCAGAUCCUCACUAAUCCAGUUGGAGUGAAGUCGAUCACGUGAGUGGGAUGAAAACGUAUCUCCUCUAAUGCUGAAGACGUGGAAAACAUGCGUGGAAUGCCAGCAAGUCGCGGGGUAGAGCUAUCUCUGUAUCAAUCGGUCCGAUAAGCUCCAAACUGCGUAUCCGUCAUGGACGACGAGACUUUGAGAAAACAUGAUCUCCAACCCUGAAAACUCCAAGUCUCGUCUCCUGGUAUCAGGCGUAGCUACUGCUGUCGCUCUGUGCUGUCAAAUAGGUGUCGUCGACGAUUCUCACUUCUUCUCAGCCUCAAGUAGAAUCUGCCAGCUCCAAGUGUCUCCGCCUCACGCACAUCGCUCAAACGGGGGAUCGACAUCCGCGUCCAUACAACGCCUCCAAACGUAGCCAUCUGAAUGCUCGUAUUGAUAGCUCGUUCUUGCUUGUACCAAACUCAAACCAGUCUCAGUAAAACAUGUCGAAUACACCCUCCUUCCAAAAUCCAGGACGUAUGCCCUUAGCAUGUCCUCUAGAGUUGUAUGGUCCACUCUGAUGACCAUUUUGUCUGUGGUGGAACGUCUGUGCUAAUUGCAGCUGAGCUGCCCAAGGCGUCCUGAAGCAUCCUCCAAAAACUGGGAUACAACCUCGGUUCUGUCUGACACCAAUCGCAUGGCACGCCGUGUAGCCUAACGAUCUCAAUGCAAGUGAUAAGCUCACGAGUCCUCUUUUGGGCCAGUAGUCUGAACCGGUAGAAGUGAGCAGACUUGUCAGUCUGUCCACUAUACCAAAUCGCGGUCGUAGCCAUGCCUGUGCUCUCGGCAAUCAACGACAAAAGUCCAUAGUGAAUGUACUCCGCACUUCCACUCUGGCACUGGCAGACUCUGAGCUUGCAGCCAGGCAGCCUGAUCUCGGCCUUCACAUCUUUGGCAAAGUCAAACACUGAGCCACAAAUCUGCCAAUGUCCUUCUUCAAUUCCAGGCCAGAACCGUGCCUUUAGGAUCAUUACUACAAUUGGUUCACCGCCAGGUGAACCGUACUAAGGAGACAAUGUAGCCUUUCUCAGAAUGUCUGCUCGGAUCUCCGAUCCACAGGACAGGAUUCAGUACGUAGUAUCCCCAUACUUCGAAAGCAAAAAACCUCAGCCUGCCCCUGUCUAGCUGCUCUCAUAAUCCUCAACAAGUCGGAUCUCCACUUCUAUUUCUCCUCGAUCCUAUCCAUCAGAGUGGCUGCAAACUCAGAGAUGUCAGCCUCGCCGUAGACCAGAGGGUAUCUUAUCGUCGAGUCCACAGCCGCUGUAUGCUGCCUCGAGUAGGGGUCUCUUGCUCAGUGAUCCUAAACUCAGUGCUCUGCACGACUCCUGCUCAACCUCAUCAGCCACAGACAUUCGCCUUGCCAAGGCUGAUACUGAAAUACUUAAAUAUCAUAGUCGCUUCAAUAACUCCAACCACUAGCGUGCCUCAGGUUCAGCUCCACUACUGUGUGAACAGAUAUAUUUGAGACUUUUAUGAUUCGGGUGAGGACCUCGCAAUGCUCGCGCGUACAAUAAUGCCGCCAGAGCUCAAAGCAAAACACUGUGGCAAAGCUCUAUCAGUCUUUGUAAGGUAAUUCUCUCAUAAUCGCUUUAACUGUUGUCUGGGCCGUGAAGCAUAAACAAUCACCCUAACCAGCUGCAUCAGUACCAACCAAGUCCACUUGGGAUGCAUCACUGAGAUCAGAAUCCAUCCCCCAUCACUGGAAGGGCAAGAUAGGAUCGACGUCAACCUCAAGUCUCAACAUCGUCAAAGCUCCUUGACAGUCGUCGCUCUCGCCAAAACGAAUCUCCUUCCGCGUCAAGCGUGUGAGGGGUGUGGAAAGCUUCGCAAAAGCGCUUCCACAAACCGAGUAAUAUCCUACCAUGUCCCAGGAAGCUCCGUACCUCAGUCACCGUCAGUCGUCUAACGGCAACUCUCGAAAUUGCCUCAUCUUCUUCGGGUCCACUGCUACGCUCAGCUGAAAAUCACGUGGCCCAACGAAAGGCAACUCCGCAUAGCAGAACUCGUACUUUCUUCUAACUUGCAUAUACAACUUCUUUUCAGCUCGCAGAGUAUAGCCACAAUGCCAAGUUCUCCUCAUUGUCGGCAUCACUCCGGAGUUAAAUCAUGUUGGGAUAUCGGUCGAUGGAAGCACCAGCAAAGCCUAUCCAAGACGGCUUUGACACUCUGGUCAUACAAAUCCAUGAAAUCGCUGCAGGGGCAUUCGUCAAUGCCAAAGCAAUCAACCGGACUAAUAAUGCCGUACGAGUCCUGAAAAGCCGUUUUGGGAACAUCCUCUUCGCCUCCCCUCACUGGGGGUAACUGAACUGGGAGAUCUAUUUUCGAGAAGAACAUAAGAUCCCAUGCAGCUGAUCAAACAAAUCAUAAAUGCGCGGCAAGAUACUUAUUCUUGAUGUCACUUUAUUCAGCUUUCCGGUAACCCCCAUCAGCCUAAGUGAACAUCCUUCUUCUUCACAAAGAACACCGGCGCUCCCCAGGCGACACACUGGCCUCACAAACCGUCUAAUCCAUCAAUCCUGCAGCUGCCAACCUUUAGCUCGCCUCAGCUCUGGCCGGCGCAAUCACGAUAAGGUACCUUCGAAGAAUGGUGCAGUUCCAGGACUACAUCAAUAUCAUCAAACUCAAUCUGCCCUCUCACGGCGCAAGAUGUCAACUCAGGAGAAAAACAUCCGGAAACUCACGGACUACAGAGGAUAUCCUCGAGUUCCGGGCCCGGCCGUAUACCGUCACAAUGCGCUAGAAAGCGAUACACCCACUGCUCAGCAUCUGUCGAGCCUCGCCGAAGAUAUCCAGGUGCAAACAGCCGUAAACUCUCUGCAGGCCUCUGAAGUGAACUCCUCCUGGCCUGGCUCGCGGAACGUCACCGUGCGUCGUCCACAGAGUCGAUCGUAGCGAGUACGCGCCAGCGCAAUCCACACGAGCGCACUCGACGUCGAAGUCCUGCAGCUGCCCUAACACCAAUAGGUCUGCGGGCAUAAAUCCACGAGCUAGCUGCAUCGGACAGACUCAACAAUCACUCCACAAUCUGCAAAACAUGGUCUGGGAUCUGCACCUCUCGUGCACUGAGACAACGCUCCUAACUCUAAGACGCAUGUACUGUGCAAAUACUCGCUACCAAAGGAAUGCGAUGCACCGGUAUCAUACAGAGUGCGAAUUAAUGCCAGAAAUAAAGUGAUACCUGCCCAAUCGGUCGGCUGCUGUAUGGUCCUCUACACCUCCAGCUGGCGUAGACCUGCAACUCGGAGGCGCUGUUGUCGCCGCCUCACAUCGACGCGACACAGACGAUCUGUCUUCCUGGCGUAACUCGGUGCUGCUGCGUAAACUGCUGUGGUGCUGUGUGCUUAAGCUGAUAAUGGUGCUAAGAUGCUGCUCGGGCAAGCUGGCCCCGAUGUGUCCGGCUGACACACCCGUAAACACCUGCCCUCUGUGCUGCUCACCAUACUAGCCGGGGGCAGUGUGGUCCCCCGCAGGAUCACACCUGUGGCUCCUCUGAGUCGCCUGCUGGACGGAUCCCCCUUAGAACCUGACGCCCGAAGAGCCGCGACCUAAGAACGUCUCGUGAAAGGUUCGGUGGGACGUCUGCAAGCUAUCCACUGGCCUUCGUCAUCUGAAAAGGGCGCUCCUAUCCUGACUCGUGUGACGAACUGGACGCUUUGCAAAUGUGCAAAGGUUCGAGUGUUUGAUGUAUAUUCGAGCAUUUUGCCACACUUGGUGGAAGGGUUGUAGAGUUGUUCCGACCUAAAAAGUUUCGAAAACCUUAGUUCGGGUAAUGAUCCUGAAAGAGUUAUUUACUUCUCGAGGGACCCGGUCCCUGAUAUGAGAGACCGGUCCCCCCAGUGUAAACAGUGUGCGCAGCCCAGGCAAGGCAACCGGUCUCAGCGCAGGGAGAGACCGGUUCCCGAACGUUGGUUUUUCAGGGUUCGACGAGAGAACGGUCCUGCUGGGGAGAGACCCGGUCCUCUUAGGCGAAAACUGCCCAGACCGGGCUGAUGUAAUCUGUUUUUUUGCAGGGCCUCUUGGAUUUGUUAGCAAUUUAAGAGGGUCUAUAUUGACCCAUCCACUCUCUCUUCUCCAUUUCUCUCUCUCAAGCCCUCUCGUACACCUUGAUAAGAGAAGAAGAAGAAGGAGUAAAGAGGAAGGAGGAGAAGAAGAGGAAGAUCACUGGGCUUGGCACAUUUUUGCCUUCUUCUCUUCCACCUUGUUGAUGCUUUAUAAGGCUUGACUUGGAGCUUGCAAAGGCAGAAGAUCUUCACACCUUUGAGCUUGAUUGGAAGCUUCUAAGGAGUUUGUGGCUCCUUUCCCUCCUCUUAGAUCUUGUUUUGAUAGUUUUUGUAGAUGAAACCUAGAAUGAGAUUUAGUUGAUUUUGGGGCUUUUUGAUCUCAGGGCUUUUGAGCUAGAUUAAUGGUUUAGAACCUUCCUUGGGCUUGAUGGAAAGGUUUCUAGCUCUCUUGGAGCUUUUGGAAGAGAUUUUCUUCUCUUGAGGUGAGUUUUUGCCCUUUUGGCUCUCUAGGUUAAUGUUGAAUCUAUGGUUGGUCGGACCUCGUAUCUCUUCGCUUGAUCACUUAGGGUCUUUGAGACUGCGUGGACUCGUUCGGCGAAUCGAAGGAGCACGCCGAACGGUUUCGGUGGGUUGACUAGCCACACAAUGAGAAAAUUCUCAUUGUGAUGAUUAAGUAUCGUCAUUGAAAAAGCCAUGCAAAUCCAUGGUUAGAAUAUAUUUAUUGUGCAUUUUUGGGAUGCUUAAUAUGCUAUGUUAUGUGUAAUGAAAGUGGACUCACUAUAGUAGAGAACUAGCAUGUGUACUCGCAUUAUGUUUUGGCCAUCUAUUGAGACUUGGAAUCAAUAAAUCCUAUUGUGAAUAAUGAGCAUCUUUUUGCAUGCAUUUAAAGUUAUUACCUAUAAAUGAAAGCUUAAAGGUUCUUGUAAAGCAUAAAGAGGCCGGGACUUGUGGUCUAUUAGUGAAUAAUGGCUAAAUGUAAAUGAAGGGGCAUCGAGCUGGUAUCGUGAACCUAGGGAUAGGCCAUUGAGAGAGUUAUAUACUUGUCAUAAAUUCUAAGUUCAUAAAGGGCACAAGACUGUAGUAGUAUUGGAACUUCAUGUUGGAUUUAACUAAGAUCUUCGGGAUGCCUAGUGACUAUACCAUUUGAGACGAUGAGGAUAGGACACUUGAGACUUGGACUAUGCUUGCUUGCAUUGUGCUCAUAUCGCACAUGUUGUGAGGGUGCUCUCUACAAGCCGGCACUCUCGGAGUUAGCGUACGCACUUCGGUCGCGUCGUGCGGUAUGAGAAGCCUACGGGUCGAGUGGGAUCAGACACAUUGCAAAGUAGGAAAUGUCGGGCAUACCACAGGCACUUAGGCGGCACAAGCUGACUACUUGGUAGGUCCUUAAUUGGAAUGGAAUCGGAUCAGCGGUGUUGAGUUUAUUAUGAUCACUACUAGACACGAGAGUAAUAGUAGGAUUAUUGGGACUUUACUUCUAGUAUAGUUUGGACAUUUGGGUAAUUCAUACAUAACAUGUAGUAUGCUAGGAGAGUUGUUUAUUGCAUCCUUAUAUCACUGUAGUCAUGACAAAGUAGACUUUCAUAUCUGUAUAUAAGUGAAUCAUAAUAUUACUUAUGAAUUGUAGAUACAAUAUAUAUCCAUGAACAAGAUAAGUCGCAAAUUAUGAAUCCAUGUUUAUUGGCAAUCGAGCUAGCAUCUUAAGUAUGCUUUCUUUAUAUGUCAAUUUAUUCGUUACUAUUGAUUCGUAGACUCACCUUUUCUUUGGCCUAAGUGGUGCAAUGAGCUGAGGUCAUAAUUGCCCACUUGGGAACUAUAAAAAUUAUAGCUCACGCCCUCUUUCUCGAUGCUUUUCAAAGCCUUCCACGGCAGGGAGAGGCUCAGGGAUACGGAAAAGGGUUCGCCUCGCUAGCGUUUAACCUCGAGGGAUCGUUCGAUUAGGUGGUGCUAGCCUCUCGUGUUUUCUUUUUGUGAGACGUUUGUAGAUUGUACAACCGUAUAUGUUACGAGACACCAUUUUUGUACUAGAAGACAGUUGUUGUAACUACUUGUAUGAUUUCUUUUAUUGUCUAGCUUUACCUUAUUUACUGUGGUGAUAGAAUGUUGACUUUACUCGCUCUGAUAUCAAUUAGUUGCUAGUUAUUUCACCUUCUCUAUUUAUUCUUUUACUUGUUUGUCACGCCCCGGAUGUCUCGUUCCCCGGACACGCCGACAAAUCCGCCGUAUACAAAGAAAUUUCCCCUGUAUACGAAGCGACAGCUGUACCUGUAAAUCAAACACUACUACGAACAGUAGUAGAGAGCUGCUAGAGAAAACAGAAACUAAACAAACUGAGUUUCAUAUACAUAGUCCAAAUCCAAAAUACAGAGUUACUCGCACUGGCGAGUUAAGUCUACUAUGUACAUAAACUCGAAACAAAAUAUCUACCUGCAGUAGGGGUGCCUCUAGCUGUGCUCGUCGGGUAGGGCUCUAACUCGCGACGCCCUUGCCUCGGUCUGCCUCGGAAGGUGCAGCAUUCGAAACCUGUGGCUCUGCAAAAUAGGGGUAACAACUGGGCGUGAGAACUACUGUAAAAACAAGUAGUCCUCAAUGGGUGCCGCCCAAACAACAUCGGUCCACCUACUAAGUAUACAGAAGGGAGCCAGGAUAGUAGGAAAAUGCAGAAAAUAAACUCAACCGCUACAAAUCGCUACACUAUCAUGCUCUACACUAACCAACUGUAGGAAAUGUCAAAUCUGACCCAAUCCAAUCGGGACUGUAAACAUACCCGUCCCUAGGACUGUGAAUACACCCGUCCCUGCCCAAUUGCGACUAUCCGCUACCUCCACACUAACUGGUCUGUGGAGAGCAAGUCGAACCGGCAUGAGCGACACCAACGCGAAAGCACAAAGCCCGUCUCCGGAGUGGCACUCGUCGGCGCUACCCAACCGAGUAUGCAGCGUAUCUCUGUCGAGCUCAAUCAGGCUCUGUCAAGCCAAAAUCUAAGUAACCGACUCGAACUGGUCUAACAACCAACAAGUAACGUGCCCUCGGCACAAUCUGACGCCAAAACGGCGAACCGGGCCUACCGUCAACCCCAACGGCGCCCAAAAGUCCGAAACAGCCCAAACAACCCUGUAAAAAUUCACUUGGCGUACAAGCACGAGCGUAAAUGUAUUCUAAACUACCUGGAGUACUCGUCUCGAGGAUACUGCGACAUUACAAUUUUAUAACGGCUCCUAGAGCUAAAUCAGGCAGUUUAAAAAAAGUGACAGGUCCAAAUCGCAGGUUUUCUCCUAAUUCAAAUUCCAAGUCCAACAUGUAUAAUCUACUCAAUUUAUUACCACAUGCUUCAAAUUCAGAUUUGCAAUCUACAAUAUAAUCCAUGAAUUCGAGCUAGAAUAGACUAUACCAAAAUCGAAAUUAUACAUGUCGACGAUUAGAACUUAGGAGUCAAAACUGAUGUAACCCACCUCAAGAAGCUAGCUCCUAGCAGCGAACGAAGCCUUAAACCAAAG